ACCUAUUCUGCAUCUCACAAAGACACGGCAACCAAACAACCAAAAAACCACCAAGAAACACAACAAAAUCUACAAAGGUGUCUGCAUGGAGAGAGUCUCCUCCAUGAAUGGGGAAGUGGUGUAUUUAUCCUGGGAGACACCGGGCCCAGGUGUGUCUGCAUGGAGAGAGUCUCCUCCAUGAAUGGGGAAGUGGUGUAUUUAUCCUGGGAGACACCGGGCCCAGGUGUGUCUGCAUGGAGAGAGUCUCCUCCAUGAAUGGGGAAGUGGUGUAUUUAUCCUGGGAGACACCGGGCCCAGGUGUGUCUGCAUGGAGAGAGUCUCCUCCAUGAAUGGGGAAGUGGUGUAUUUAUCCUGGGAGACACCAGGCCCAGGUGUGUCUGCAUGGAGAGAGUCUCCUCCAUGAAUGGGGAAGUGGUGUAUUUAUCCUGGGAGACACCGGGCCCAGGUGUGUCUGCAUGGAGAGAGUCUCCUCCAUGAAUGGGGAAGUGGUGUAUUUAUCCUGGGAGACACCGGGCCCAGGUGUGUCUGCAUGGAGAGAGUCUCCUCCAUGAAUGGGGAAGUGGUGUAUUUAUCCUGGGAGACACCGGGCCCAGGUGUGUCUGCAUGGAGAGAG